UUUGACCUCGGAUCAGGUAGGGAUACCCGCUGAACUUAAGCAUAUCAAUA
rnacentral:rRNA from 17 species